UCUCUCCCAAAGCUGUGUGCUCAAAGAGGACAAAGUUCCUUGAUAGAGAAGACCUUUAUUCAGUCAAGGGUAUAUGAGUAGCUGUGCUCCUCUGCUAGAACCUCCCAACAAGCUCUCCAGGUCCAGUAAGCCAUUUGGCCAGC
rnacentral:sRNA from 1 species